UGGGAGGCUGAGGCAGGAGAAUCACUUGAACCCAGGAGGCACAGGUUGCAGUGACCCGAGAUCGUGCCACUGUACUCCGGCCUGGGUGACAGAGCAAGACUCUUGUCUCCAAAAAAAAAAAAAAAGUCAAAUUGCUGAAAUCUGCAAUCUGCAUAUAAUGUGAUCCCACUUAAGAGUUUUACAGUAUCCAUGCUGUGUACCUGUGUGUUAAACUCAGCCUAUUAAUUGAGCGCCUACUCCAGGGAAUGGGUGAGUAGUGGAAAUAGAGCCACAGGCAUCCUGCCUUUCCAGGCAGUGGUCCUGUGUGGGGUACAGGCAUACAGGUACAACACCCCUCUGGGUGUUAAUUGAUAGAGGGAGUGAGAAAUGAUGGCUUAUGGUUUGUCUCAUUCAGCCACCGGAAGUGACAACCCUCUAUUUAGAAGAUUUACCAACUAUGAUCCUGUGCAUAUAAUGUGGACCAGCUGCUGUUAAGUUUUUACCGCAACCUUCUAAAAUAAAUGUGAAUUAUUUGCAACAUGUAGAGCCUCUCUAGAUGUGGAGAGGUUGUCAACGAUGCUAAAAGUAAAAUGAGAAAAACUUGUUUUCCAACCCUUUUGUUAAGAUUCACUGGAAAGGAACAUUGCCUUCUGGAAAUCACUUACGGGAAUGCAAUUUUUACAGCAUUUCUUGGACUCAUGCCCUCGUUCGUUUCAUGGGUUGAAGGAAGGGCAAAAGGCAGUGAAGGAGGGGAAAGGUUCCCGCCAGAAUGUGCAUUUAGAAGCAUUGAUCCACAGGCGUGCUAUUACUCAGCACUCCUGUGGAUACAAUGAUAAACUUCACUCAGCACUCCUGUGGAUACAAUGUUAAACUUAGGUCCUUCAUUCAAAUGCCUGUAUCUAGCUUUUCUACGUGUUUAGAUGUGCUCACCACAUAUUAAAAAUAGAUGUGGAGUAGUGUUUGAAAAAUAUUGAAAAUAUUGAAAAAUAUUUUCAAUACAGUCAUCUCUUGGUAUCCAUGGGGAUACUGAGGUCUGCUUGAGCAUCCUCGGAUUUUGAUAUCCGUGGGGAUUGGUCUAGGACCUCCCACAGAUACCAAAAUCCACAGAUGCUCAAGUCCCUGAUAUAAAAUGGCCUAGUAUCAGGCACAGUGGCUCACGCCUGUAACCCCAACACUUUGGGAGGCCGAGACAGGUGAAUCACUUGAGCUCAGGAGUUCAAGAUCAGCCUGGGCAACAUGGUGAAACCCUGCCUCUACAAAACAAAAAAAUUAGCCAGGCGUGGUGGUGGACGCCUGUAGUCCCAACCAUUCGGAAGGCUGAGAUGGGAGGAUGAAUUGAGCCCGGGAGGCUGAGGCUGCAGUGAGCAGUGAUGGAGUCACUGCACUCCACCCUGGGUAAGAGAGCAAGAUCCUGUAAGUAAAUAAAAUGGUCUAGUAUUUGCAUGUAAUCUAUGCGUAUCCUCCCAUAUACUUUAAAUCACCUCUAGAUUACUUAUAAUACCUAAUAUAGUGUAAAUGCUAUUAAUACAUAUAGGAGUUAUAUUUUUUAUUAUUAUAAUUAUAAUUAUUAUUUUUGAGACAGAGUUUUGCUCUUGUUGCCCAGGCUGGAGUGCAAUGGCAUAAUCUUGGCUCACCGCAACCUCUGCCUCCCAGGUUCAAGCAAUUCUGCCUCAGCUUUCCAAGUAGCUGGGAUUACAAACGUCCCACUAUGCCCGGCUAAUUUUGGUUUUUUUUUUUUUUUUUUUUUUUUUUUUUUUUUUUUUUUCAGUAGAGACAGCGUUUCUCCAUGUUGGUCAGGCUGGUCUCGAACUCCAAACCUCAGGUGAUCCGCCCGCCUCAGCCUCCCAAAGUGCUGGGAUUACAGGCAUGAGCCACCGCACCCGACUUUUUAUUUGUAUUUUUUAUUGCAUUGUUAUUUGGGUGAAGGGUUCCCUGAAUAUUUUUGAGCCAUGGUUGGCUGAAUCUGCAGAUGCAGAACCCGUGGAUAUAGAGCAUUGCUUUAGAAAGAUUGUCUCCCUAAUAGAAAGUGCUAAACCACCUACAGCUGUACCGCCCUAAACAUGCCUGAUGUCAUCUGAUCUUGGAAACUAAGUAGGGUCGUGCCUGGUUAGUACUUGGAUGGGAGGAUGUUAAACCACUGAAAAUUACAUUAAUCUAUGCUCUUCUCUGAGUGGUUGGAGGAUAGGGAGAAGGGAAUUAUGCACGUUUAUUUAUUAGAAGUAUAUAUUCUAAUUUCAUAUGACACAUUUAAUGUUGCUGUAUACAUAGGGUAUAUAAAAGUAUAUGUUCUAAUUUCAUGACAAAUAUCGAGUUAGCAAAUAUAUUUUAGGAUACUGUUGGUUAAAUUCAGAGGAAAGUCUUUUUUGUUUGUUUGUUUUUUGAGACAGAGUUUUGGUCUUGUCACCUAGGCUGGAGUGCAAUGGUGUGAUCUCAGCUCAUAGCAACCUCUGCAUCCCAGGUUCAAGUGAUUCUCCUGUCUCCCGAGUAGCUGAAACUACAGGCAUCUGCCACCACACCUGGCUAAUUUUUGUAUUUUACUAGAGCCAGGGUUUUGCCAUGUUGGCCAGGCUGGUCUCAAACUCCUGACCUCAGGUGAUCCACCUGCCUUGGCCCCUCAAAGUGUUGGGAUUAUAGGCAUGAGCCACUGCACACAGCCAGAAGAAAAUCUUUUAAACAUUGCUUUUUUAAAAAUUUUUAAAUAAUGUCAACAUAUUUAUUUGAGAACAGGUGAUGAGACUGGCUAAUUUUUGUAUUUUUCUGGUGGAGACGGAAUUUCACCAUAUUGCCCAGGCUGGUCUCGAACUCCUGGGCUCAAGUGAUCUGCCCACCUUAGCCUCCCCAAAGUGUUAGGAUUACAGGCGUGAGCCACCACGCCCAACCUUCAACAUUUAGAUUGAAGGGGAACGUGCAGAUUUGUUACAUAGGUACAUUGUGUUGGUCCUGAGGUUUGGGGUACAGUUGAUCCCAUUGCCCAGGUAGUGAGCAUAGUACUUGAUAGACCUACUGUCUACUGUUGCCAUCUUUAUGUCCAUGUUUACCCAAUAAACAUUGCUUUUAUUUUUUAUUUUUUUGAGAGGGGUCUCAGUCUGGUGCCCAGGCUGGAGUGCAGUGGCACAAACAUAGCUCACUGCAGCCUCAACCUCCUGGGCUCAAGCAAUCCUCCCACUACACCUUCCUGUGUAGCUAGGACCACAGAUGGGCAUCACCAUGCCCAGCUCAUUUUUUUUCUGUAGAAACAGGGGUCUCACUUUGUUGCCCAGGCUGGUCUUGAACUCCUGAGCUCAAUCUUCAUACCUUGGCCUUCCAAAGUGUGGGGAUUACAGGUGUGAGCCACCAUGCCCAGCCCCAAACAUUGCUUCUAGAAAUGAAAUUUGUAAUCUACCUCUGUAGUAUAACAUAUCUGUACUUUGCCCAUUGGGAAGUGUUCUGAACCAAAAUGUCCAUAUUCGGAUUAUAGCCAUUAUCCCCAAUGUGCACUUCAUUCUACAAACAGCUGUGUGUAGAGUGGAUAUAUUAAGUCCAUAUUUUAAUAUCUAGUACUAGGUAUUUUGAAGUGAAGAUGUUUGUGACAAAUUUUUAAAAAUGAGAUGGUGAACUGGAGUUGGCCCACAGGCCAUAGUUAAGCAACCCCUAUGUUAGCAGCUCCAUGCAUUCCACACCAGUCUCUAUAGUAGCAAACAGGAAGCCCUGCUCCUCCCCCACAAAAAGUGACAUUUUUGACACAUUUUUGGGUUGUUAAAUUCAAAACCCAAUGUCCUUUGGCAGCAUUUGUAAAGGAGGAAGGACUCUCUCCAACUGAUGG
rnacentral:lncRNA from 1 species